GAACAAUAAAUAACUAAACCUCCGUUUGGUUCGGGGUUAAGGAAAAAGUAGCUAUUCCAGGGAUAGAGUUAAGUUCAGGGUUAAAGUGGGGUUAAAAUUUUUUUGUGUUUGGUUGGGGAUUGGAGUUAGUCUAGAAUAAUAAAAAAUAGUGUUUGGUUGGGUAGGUGGGAUAAGAAGAUAAUGAUUGAUAAAGAAGGAUAAUGAUUGGUUGGAGUAGGUGUGAUAAGAAAGAUAGUGGGUUAUUAUGAAUAAAAAAUAGUGUUUGAUUGGAGUUUGGUGGGAUUAGGUGGGAUUAGCUAACCCGGGAUAAUUUAUUUGAGGUGGGAUUAGGUGGGGUUAGCUAACCCCACCUAUUUUUUGGAGUGUUUGAGAAUAAAAUGGGGGUUAAGGGGUUAUUC
rnacentral:lncRNA from 1 species